rnacentral:rRNA from 1 species
AUUGAACGCUGGCGGCAUGCCUUACACAUGCAAGUCGAACGGUAACAGGUCUUCGGAUGCUGACGAGUGGCGAACGGGUGAGUAAUACAUCGGAACGUGCCCGAUCGUGGGGGCUAACGCAGCGAAAGCUGUGCUAAUACCGCAUACGAUCUACGGAUGAAAGCGGGGGAUCGCAAGACCUCGCGCGGACGGAGCGGCCGAUGGCAGAUUAGGUAGUUGGUGGGAUAAAAGCUUACCAAGCCGACGAUCUGUAGCUGGUCUGAGAGGACGACCAGCCACACUGGGACUGAGACACGGCCCAGACUCCUACGGGAGGCAGCAGUGGGGAAUUUUGGACAAUGGGCGCAAGCCUGAUCCAGCCAUGCCGCGUGCAGGAUGAAGGCCUUCGGGUUGUAAACUGCUUUUGUACGGAACGAAAAAGCUCUCUCUAAUACAGGGGGUGAAUGACGGUACCGUAAGAAUAAGCACCGGCUAACUACGUG